ensembl:lncRNA
AGAGUACAAGAGACAGUGCUGUCUGCUUUGUCCCUCACACCUGCUCAGGAGAAGCCAGAGCCAGGCAUAGGCCUGGAAUUGUCGUGCUGUGUGACUAUUUCUCCAUGUGCCCAGUAACUUGCAUGCUACAUUAGAUAGGAGUAAUAUUUGGGAGAGGUGUGAUUAUCUUUGUCCUGUCUGCCUUUAAAAAUUCGCUGAGCAGAUUCCUCUGCUUAGUAUGAAAAGCAAGAGGCACUCAGGGUGAGUGUGCAGGGUCUGAUCUUUUCUGGAAAGCACCAAACCAGUCAGCCCCCAUGACGUUCUCGCCCUGGUCCUUGUGCUGUUUUGCAGGUGGGUAGGGUCUGCUCUGGUGAGUCUUCUUUACCAGCAGCAUACACUGGAAGCAGUAAGCUAUGGAAAACUGUCAGCAGAGUGGAGAUAAGACCAUGUGCCAGGUUCAGGGCGAACUCUCCGGGAGACUGUCCUGGAAAGUUCGCCCAUCCUCGCCCUGCUGAAUGAGAGUUUCAUUAGCAGCUGGUCACUUGUAAAGGAGCUGGAAGAGCUGCAGACAAACAGGGAGAAUGAGUUCUACAGCAAGCUGGCUGACUUGCACCUUGAAAAAUACAACUUCCCUGUGGAGAUGAUCAUCUGCCUCCCCAAUGGCACGGUGAUUCACCAUAUCAAUGCCAACUACUUCCUGGAUAUUACUUCUAUGAAGCCUGAAGAUGUUGAAAGUAGUAUCUUUAGUUUCUCAGCCAAUUUUGAUGACCCUUCUACUGCAACUUACCUCCAGUUUCUGAAGGAAGGACUGCAAAGAGCAAAAGCUUACUUGCAGAACUAAAACCAAAGGCACCCAAAUGCCUCAUGGAGUUGGCCAAACACUUCAGACGUCUAUUUUGAUUGCAGCAGUUCUUUCUCAUCUUCAUGCCAUGCACUGAUGUUAAGAUGCAGACAAUUCCAGGACUGGGGCUUUUCUGUGGAUGAUCUGGAGAUGUUGGUUUAAGGCUAAACUUUCAAGUGAUACCAGUUUAUGUCAUCUGCCCAUUCGAGUUCAGGCAAGUUUUUACAGGAGUGAAAAUACUUGGAUCUAUAAACAUUCUUUGUGCAUACACCUUGCCACCCACCCUCAUAUUCUUCCACCUCUUGUUCAGACUCUGGGAUGAAACUCUUUUUUACAGCCAUACCAAGCAUUGCCAGGAAACAUCUGAUCUCAAGGGCUGGACUGUGUGUUGAGUUACAGAGAACAGCACUGCUGUGAUGACCGAACACUCGUGAUGCACACCUGUGCUGUGUGGGCAAAUGCACAGAAUCCAGUGUGGACAGCAAGCUCUUCCCUGGGCAGCUGGUGGGCACUGUGCUUCCUGCCAGCAGCACUGAGCUGUAAGCUGCUCUGUGGCGUGGAUCCCAGUUCUUUGUGAUAGCAUUAUUGACAGCAGUGGCAACCUGUGUGUAAUAGGAUUGUAGCUGAUAAUGUGUAGGCAUGGAAGUAGGAAGAUCUAGCUGCAGGCUUGAUCUCUGAAGUAGCCUCCUCCCAGCUUCCUGGAUGCCUGGGACAGUGAUCCUGAGUGAUGUGGUGCAAGAGCUGUAUCAGUCACAAUGUUUGCAGCUGAUGGAGAUGGUGGGGUUGAUGUGGUGCAAUUGGGAGUGGAGAAUGGGGCAUUAUGGUGCAGCUUAGAGAUGUUAGGUAUGGAUUAAUUUGGGGGGAUUAAGGGCCAAGGCUCUGGCAGUGAGCUCCACCUGUUGUAGGGUGUGCCUACAGGCUAUGGGACACUGUAAUGAGCUGUGCCCCCAUCCUAUUUAGACCAAAGCUACUCCCACCCCACCUGUUUUGAGAGCUUUGUUCUCCCAGUGUGUCAUCAGUGGUGACAAAAUACUCAGUGCAUGUUUGAUGUGAUUUUUCCAAGUCAUACUGAAUAAUGGACCGUGAUUAAGUCCCCUUUAGGAAGGGGAGAUUCAGCCUUAUCCUGAGAGCACUGAGUGGUUUAGAAUGGACCAGUUUUAAAGAAACUGUCAGGAGCCUUUCCCAAGGAAGGAACUGUUUGACCAGAGUGCCAAUUGCUCUUACCUGUAAACAUCCUGAGCAGUUGUUCCUCCUCUGUACCAAUGGCUGACUGCACAGUGAGUGAAAUUUGGGGAAGGGAGGGUAAAUGAAAUGGUGUUUUAAGCACAUUCCUAGAGAUAGGUGAGACAAAGCAUCUUCAAAAGAUGGCUGCAAGCAGCUCUUUCUAUUGAUGCUUUUUCUGCUCUCUGAAGCACAAUUUUGUUGAACCAAAUCCAAAGUUGGGGGAAAGCCUCUUUUUUUUCUGAGGGGGGGGGACUUUUAUUCUGGACAUCAGGACCUGGAAGGGAUGCUUGGGGUCAUGAUUCACAGAACCACAGAAUGGAUAAGGUUGGAAGGGAUCUCUGGAGCUCAUCAGGCUGAGUUCAGACGGAUCUUUGAGCGACUCAGCGUAGCUUUGCUAAUUGCUCUAAGUGAGAUUAAUUACCUGUGGGAUGUUUCUUAGUACUGGCUUUUUAACUAUGCAUUAGCUCUGCACUUUACUAGCCCUUCAAGUGGCCUGCAGUAAUUACAGGCUUGGAUUACAUACAGGCUGUGCUUUCAGUGGUGGCCGUGGAAAGUGUCAAAGCCUCCAGACAGUGUUACAGAGACCAAGCUCCUGUCACCAUGGCAGUCUCAGCACCCUCUGUCCCUUCUGGGGACUUUGGACUGAGCCAAGAGCGACAGAGCAGAGUGCCCAUCUCCAUCCAGCACCUUGGGAAGCAUUGCUUUAGUGUUACCUGCCCUUAUGGCUUUUACAGAGGAGGGUUUUUGUUCAUUUCUCACUUUUUGUUAGCCUCUUGGUCUCGGGCUGCAGACUUCAAAGCAGCACACGUGUAUUCAUUCCAUUAAUUUCUCUUUUGACUGGUUUUGCAGCAGAAGGGGUCAGAGAGCAGUAGCUGAGCACUCAGGGGUUGUCUUCUCAAGGUGUGGAGAACCAGGUACAGGAGCAGUUCUGCAAGGCUAGGGAGCAGCAGGCAGAGGAGGGACCGGAGCCCCUCUCCCUGGUGCUGUGAGCACAGCAAGAAGGGGAUUCAGCUGAGCUGAAGCAAGAGGAGCCCAAACAGCCGUCCUUAGCCUGGAUUCAGCCGUGUCCUCAUUAACUCAUGAACCACAAAACAUCCCAAUCAACCCAUCAUCUUCCAUCUACUGCUGUGAGUGGGCUCUGGACAGAAACUGUUAUCUAAGGACUUUUUUUUUUAUACUAUCUGCCAAGCGUUUUCUCUUACAUUUGUAAUCUUACUAUAUUUUUCAGUAAGCUUGUGAUAUUCCAAAGGGGGAGGGCGAUGCUGCUUCUCACGGUCUCCUGUGCUUCGUGACGCUCUGGCCUUAAAUCCACAAGCGGGUCAGGGCUGAUGUCUGACAGCAGCACUACGUGGGAAAGCAGCGCUGCUCCGCCUCUGGGUCUGCGUGCGCCGGUGCCGUUCGGUGUGACGGGCUGUCCGGGCCGUUUGUAGCCGCGCUAGUUAAACCGAUCCCACCACC